UCCUGGUCGGUGGGGACGAAAUACGGC
rnacentral:sRNA from 1 species